rnacentral:rRNA from 1 species
GGACUACAAGGGUAUCUAAUCCUGUUCGCUCCCCACGCUUUCGCGCCUUAGCGUCAGUACCGUCCCAGCGAGCUGCCUUCGCUAUUGGUGUUCCUCCUGAUAUCUGCGCAUUCCACCGCUACACCAGGAAUUCCACUCGCCUCUUCCGGACUCUAGCCCUGCAGUAUCCAUCGGCUUUCAAAGGUUGAGCCUUUGACUUUCACAACGGACUUACAGGGCCGCCUACGCGCGCUUUACGCCCAAUGAUUCCGGACAACGCUUGCUCCCUACGUAUUACCGCGGCGGCUGGCAC